rnacentral:rRNA from 1 species
CACUCCUACGGGAGGCAGCAGUGGGGAAUUUUGGACAAUGGGCGAAAGCCUGAUCCAGCAAUGCCGCGUGAGUGAAGAAGGCCUUCGGGUUGUAAAGCUCUUUUGUCAGGGAAGAAACGGUGAAAGCUAAUAUCUUUUGCUAAUGACGGUACCUGAAGAAUAAGCACCGGCUAACUACGUGCCAGCAGCCGCGGUAAUACGUAGGGGGCAAGCGUUAAUCGGAAUUACUGGGCGUAAAGCGUGCGCAGGCGGUUUUGUAAGUCUGAUGUGAAAUCCCCGGGCUCAACCUGGGAAUUGCAUUGGAGACUGCAAGGCUAGAAUCUGGCAGAGGGAGGUAGAAUUCCACGUGUAGCAGUGAAAUGCGUAGAUAUGUGGAGGAACACCGAUGGCGAAGGCAGCCCCCUGGGUCAAGAUUGACGCUCAUGCACGAAAGCGUGGGGAGCAAACAGGAUUAGAAACCCUUGUAGUCCCA